UACAGAGGGUGCAAGCGUUGCUCGGAUUUACUGGGCGUAAAGCGUACGCAGACGGUGAGAAAGGUCGGAUGUGAAAGCCCCGGGCUCAACCCUGGAACUGCAUCCGAAACCAUCUCGCUAGAGUAUGAGAGAGGGAAGCAGAAUUCCUGGUGUAGAGGUGAAAUUCGUAGAUAUCAGGAGGAAUACCUGCGGCGAAGGCGGCUCACUGGCCCGAUACUGACGCUGAGGCACGAAAGCGUGGGGAGCAAACAGG
rnacentral:rRNA from 1 species